AUGGUAGUAGGCAUUGAACGCGUACGUGGCAUGAUCCUCCACGGUGUCCGGGUCAUAGCACGGCUUUCCCUGCGUCAGCACGGAGCAGUCCACCUUCCCCGGGCCGCACGCCCAGUCGAGCGCGGCCUGCAGCAUCUUCUCGUCCGCGCCCUCCCGCGCCACGCAGUAGGUCUGGUUCGUCGUGUCGUUGGCCAGCAGCACGCCGGAGCCCGUCAGGUGCAGCGCGUACGCCGGGAUGCCGUUCAUGUCGAACAGGCCCCAGUACUUCUCGGAUGCUGUGCCGGGGCGGGUGUCCUCGUCGUAGAGCUCGUAGAUGAACGUCGGCACGGCCACCCCGGGGUGCUUCGGCGUGCCGGUGACGUUCAUGACGUGCCGGAUGAGGUUGCUGUUGUACGUGUCGGCGUUGUCGUUGUUGGCGUCCGGCUCGGCGGACGCGUCGCCCUUGUGCGGCCACCCGGUCUCCGUCACCAUGACCGGCACGUUGGUGACGUUGAGGUACGCCAUGGCGAAGUAGGCGGCGUCCACGACGGCGUCGAAGACGUUGGUGUAGUGCAGCAGGGUGUUGGCGUCCACGGCCUCCUUGUUGGGUGGCAGAGGCCGAAACAGCGCGUAGUCUAG
rnacentral:rRNA from 1 species